AUACGAAGGGGGCUAGCGUUGUUCGGAAUUACUGGGCGUAAAGCGCGCGUAGGCGGAUUGGUCAGUUAGGGGUGAAAUCCCAGGGCUUAACCCUGGAACUGCCUCUAAUACUGCCAGUCUUGAGUUCGGGAGAGGUGAGUGAAAUUCCUAGUGUAGAGGUGAAAUUCGUAGAUAUUAGGAAGAACACCAGUGGCGAAGGCGGCUCACUGGCCCGAUCCUGACGCUGAGGCGCGAAAGCGUGGGGAGCAAACAGGAUUAGAAACCCUAGUAGUCC
rnacentral:rRNA from 1 species